rnacentral:rRNA from 1 species
UACAGAGGUCCCAAGCGUUGUUCGGAUUCACUGGGCGUAAAGGGUGCGUAGGUGGUCAGGUAAGUCGGAUGUGAAAUCUCCGAGCUCAACUCGGAAACUGCAUUGGAAACUACCUGGCUCGAGGGUUGGAGGGGGGACUGGAAUGCUUGGUGUAGCAGUGAAAUGCGUAGAUAUCAAGCGGAACACCAGUGGCGAAGGCGAGUCCCUAGACAACUCCUGACACUGAUGCACGAAAGCUAGGGGAGCAAACAGG